rnacentral:lncRNA from 1 species
AUUUUUUUUUUUUUUUUUUUUUUUGUCAUUUUCUCAAAUUUUAAAGCUAUAGAAUCAUGGAAAAUUUUACUUUACACAAUUUGGUCUUCAAACCCUUGAAAGGGAGAGAUGUAGUGUUGAAAUAGGUAUUUUUAGAAUUAGGUGGAACUAAUGAUGGAAAUUUGGCUCGUAGGCCCAAAGCAUGACCUCUUUCUCAAGUUUUGCGGUAAAAAAAAAAAAUAUAAGGUUUAACCCUGUUGUAAAACUUAUAUUCAAACUAAACUCUAUUCAAACUAAACUCUUUAUCGUCACGUAAGAGUCAUGUUAUAAUUUUUUUUUCUUUUAAAAUUUAAGUUGAAACUUUAAUUACUAGCUAAGACUUUAAAACUUAAGUUGAAGCUGCAAUUGACAAUUAAAACUUUAUUUUUUAAAUGAAACCUCAAUUUCUUAUUAAGAUUUCAUUUUUGAAUUUAAGUCGUAAUUAGCAAUUGAGACUUUAUUUUUUAAUUGAAACCUCAAUUAUCAACUAAGACUUCAUUUUUGAAUUGAAGAGAUAUGUGAGAUUACAAACUUUUUUUCCCACUAUAUAAAUGUUUAGGGAGUAAUUUUUUUGUAACUUUGAUUAAACUAUUAAAAAUAACAUUUUGUAGUAGAUUUUUUUAAUUAAUCUCAUUAACUAAUUUCGAAAUGUAUCUUCAAGGUAUAUAUAUUGUGUGUACAAAUAAUAGGUUUUUUUUUUAAAUUAUAAACAUAUGCUUUAAAAUAAUUAAAAAAAAUCUAUAUGUGGAAACUUAGAAGUAUUAUAUUAUUUCAGUAAAGAUAAAUUUGUUAAAAUAAAAAUAAGUUAAUAUAUUAAAAUACAAUAAAUUAAAUAUCUUUAAUUAAUAAAUUAUAUAAUUUUAUAUCUUAUUUAUAUGUGAUAUAACUUUAUUAUUUUAAUAUUAUUAAUAAAUAAAAUAUUUAUUUAUUAUUAUUUUUAUUAAUUUAUCUUUAUUGAGGUAAUACUACAUUCUUAAGUUUAAAUGUAUAAAAUUUUUAUUAUUAAAGUAUAUAUUUUUAAUUAUAUAUAUUAAAUUAUAUACUUCAAUUCAUGGAAAGUUCUAUGAAUAAUUAGAAAUAUAUACUCCAUCACCGGUUCAUUAAUAAUUACACCUUCAACUUAAAAUUUUGAAAAAAAUAUAUUUUUUAUGAUAGGACUCUUAUGUAAUAAGAAAAAAGCUAAUUUGAAUAUAAGUUUUGCAAAAAGUUUAAUAUAUAUACAUAUAUAUUUGUAAAAUCACCAUUUUGCCCCCAAAAACUCCUCUUUCUCUUCAUUUUGUCUUUUCCUUUUGGACAUUCUCUGAUGGAGGCGAAAUGUACCCAAAAAAAAUUUGAAGUGACUACAGUUAAUCCUAUUGCAGGCCUGGCGAUCUUCAAAAGGUUGAUUUGGAAAAAUUGACUCUUAUAGUAACUAUUGCUAUCAAUGUAGCCUGCUUUUGACAUUUGGCUUGAUUUCAGAACUCAAAACUGAUAGAUAGGGACAUGAUACGUGUAAAUUUGUGUGUUUAAGAAUAGAAAAUUUAUAACUAGCCUGCUAAAUGUGUUUUUCUCUUGUUUUUUUUUUUUUUUUGAAAAAAAAAAUAACCUAAAAAACAGUUUCCAAGCAAGCUUUAAAUUGUUUUCAUUUGCUUUUUAAUAUUGUUUAAAAAAUAAUUAUAUAAAUAUAUAGAAAAUGAUUAAAAAUAAAUAUUAAAGAUAAAAGUUAUUUUUAAAAUAUAUAAAAUAGUUUAAGGAGAUUUCAAAUUCUCAAAUAGAUAUUUAUUUUACAAAACAUUAUAGAGUAUUUAAAAUAUAUAUAUAUAUAUCAAAUUAUUUUUUAAAACAAUUUUUGAAAAUACUUUCUAAAUAAAACAUAUGUAAUCCAAUCUAAAUAUGCUUACGAAUCGAUAUAAUAAAUAACUAAAUAAAUAAAAGUAGACUGAGUUGGUUUGGUUGCGACUCCGGUAUAGACAUUUGUUUUAACUAAUAGGAUCAUAAAAUAUGUAUGUAUUUGUUUCCAAAUUUUUUAUUUGCAUAAAUCUUUCUUUUUACCAUUUCUAUGGAAGAAAGUAAGAUGGUACGUGACCUCUAGUUGACAAGCAUGUGAAAGAUGUUGUGAAAAAUGAAAUUGAAGAAACCCAUGAAAGUUAUAUUGAUUUUCUCAAAAUUUAAGGUUAUAUUUGGUUCUUAGAAAAUUAGAGGGAAAAUGCAAUGGAAAAAAAUAAAGAAAAAAAAUAGAAGGGAAGAAAAAGUAAAGGAAAACAAAAAAUAAAUUUAAAUUCAAUAAAUUAAUUUUAUUUGUUACUUUAAACUCAUAUGACUUAUUUAAACUUAUCAAUAUAAAAAUUAGAUAAUUUAAAAAUAUAUAAGUUUUUAAUUAGUUUUAAUUACAUUUGAUUUUCUUCCGUAUAUUCCAUAAGAUAACCAAAUAUGAGAAAAUUAUUUUCGUAAACAUUUUUUUUUCUUUCUAUAGUAUUUUUCGGGAACCAAAUAUAACCUAAAGCAAUAGAAUCAUGGAAAACAAUUUGGUCUUAGAACUCUAGAAAGAAAGGAAGAGAUGUAAUACGGAAACGGAAGAAUUUUAGAAUUGGAUGGAAAUUUGGUUAGGUGGUCUAAAACUUGGCCCAACCCACACAAAAUUUUAGGCUGGAUCCUAGGCCCAGCUUGAGUCCCACCCAAAGGAAGUCUUGGAUUUUAUAGAAAUAUCAAUAGUAAGUUCAAAGACAAAAUUAAUAAAAACUUAUAGGAGUAUUAUAAAUUUAAAAAAAUAAAAUAAGUGGUAAUACAUCUAUUAUAAAAUUUGUGACAUUCAACAAUAAUAUACUAAACUUAAAAAUGCAUUUAAUACUAAAAUAACAUGUAACAAGGCAUUACCACACAAAAUCUUGUUACAUAUUUGUAAGUAAAAUAGUCAAACUAAUUUAUCCUAUCUAUGGGUAUAGGAUGAAGCUUGUGCUAGGAACUAAAUUUCCAAACCAAUCUUAACCCAACCCUAAACCAAGCUAGAAGAGUCAGCCAGGCAACCCAAUUGAUAAGGUGCCUCCUUAGAAAGGAGGAAAAAAAACCAUGUAUUCUAAUAUUCUAUGAGAUCAAGGCAUCUUUAGAAUGAAGAUUGAUUAGAGUAUAUAUAUCUAACUACUUUGAGUUGUCUGGAUAUAAAGUGGAUUGAUUUUAAAUACAUACGCAAAUAGAUAUUAGACCAAUUGUAGUUGACCCAACAAUUUCUAGAAUGUCAUUGUUAUGAUGUUGAUUUGACUUUUGUGACUACGAUAUUCGUGUAGCUCUUAAUACGCGUAUUGGAGCUCUUCGCUCGAUGUCUCAGAUCGCUUUGUUAUAAACCGUUGUUUCAUUGGGUGGUGACUUAUUUGUAACACUCCCCUUACUAAAUCAAACAAAUAACGCUUUAUUGAAUGAAUCAACUUCUCCCUUCGAACAAGGGUAAAUGGUUUAAGGAAAAACCUAUCUUAGUGAGGUUGAAAAGGGGAAAGUUGUUCGAAAACUCGUGUUAGUUUUUUGGACCACCUUCUAUUUUUGAACCAAUUAAUUCUCAACCUUGAGCAUAGCUUAGCUUGAAUAUUGGCAAAAUUAACUUUCAAUCCAAUAAAAGCAUGAGUUAUUUGGUUAAAGGAUUCUUCUAUUUGGAUAUUCAUUAUUAUGUUCUAAUCUAAAAAAUUGAUAGGUUACAACUGAAUUUGCCAAAGCUCAAACCAUUAAAUAAAAAUAUAUAGGAUUUGUCAUUAUAACAUUCCUUUAUUACCCUUUCUUGUUUUCUAAAUUCAAUUUUCCUUUAUUACACUUUCUUGUUUUCUCAAUUUUAUGUUUCACAAAGUCUUUUUGGACCUAUUUUUAAAAACAAUUUUUUUUUUGCUUAAAAAUAGAAAAUUGCUUUCUAGACUUGCGAAAUAUAUUUGGUAAUUUUUUAAUAGAAAAUAUUAUUUUGAAGAUUUAAUAUUAAAUCAGGAUAUUUUUUGAAAAUAUAUUUUAAUUAUUUUUACUUAUUUUUUAAAAAUUAUCUUAAAAAAUAAUUAUACAAUAUGAAAAAUAAAAGUAAAACAUUAUAAAUAAAAAUUAUUUUUAAAAAAUAUUUGAGAUUAUACAAAGUAGAUUGGAAACAUUUGAAAUUUUGAAAUAAAUUUUUAUUUUAGAAAACAUUAUAGAACUGUUUUUAAAAAUUAUUCUUAAAAACUAUCAUUUAAGAAUUAUUCUCAAAAUAUUUUUAAACAGGCCUCAGAGCAUAUUGUCAUGAGCCUAGAGUUUUAACGCAACAGCAUAGCCCAUGUGGCAACGAACUAUAUGUGACAAUAUGCUCUAAGCUCAAAAUUUAAAAUUACAAGUCAACUAGAGACAGCUCAAAACCAUUAAAAAAUUUACCUAACUGUGGUAGGAAGUGUGUUUAUGUAUGUCGUUGUUCCUCUUUCUUUGUUUUCUAAUGAAAAUAUACCAUGUCUUCUCCAUUCUAUUUUCCUUGAAUAAAAUUUUACAAAUAGAAUCAGUCUUCUCCGCGUGAGAGAAUCCCAAAAUUACAUAAUAAAUUCUCCGAGUAUAUGUGCUACAAACCCAUGUGUAUGUGUUAUAUAUAUUUCUUUACUUGGACCCACGAGAAAAUGUGAAUGCAUUGAUUCAUAGUACAUUUUGAAUACGGUGAACUUCUUUUGAGGCCCCUCCUAAUCAAACGACAGCUAGAAACUCAUCAUAUCUUGUAAACACUUGAUAAACUAAAUCACCCAUUAAUAGUAGGACCUAUGCUAACUUGAUGUUGACAUUCAUUGCAUGAAAACUAAUUGUACAAGCAUACCCUGGAGUUCUAAAAAAUAAGUGGGGGACUUGGGCAUGUCUAGGAAUUGUUUGUGAAAACAAUUUCUACAAAAAAAAAAAAAAAAGGGUGAAUGAGAACAAUUAAAUUUUUUUUUUUUGAUACUUUUUGAGAUACAAAUAUGUCUGGGAACUCUGAAUGCAUGUGUUUCAACCAGUUUUCCAUAUUUCAAAAGAUUUUUUUUUUAAAUAAUUUUAUCUUAAUAUUUUAAAUUUAAUCAUCCUCCAUAAUUAUACACUCAUUCUUUUAAAUAAUCCCUAAAAAAUAAGUGAAAAUAAUUUAAAUACGUUAUUAAAAAAACCCUAUUUUCAAGACAUAUUCUUAAAAAAAUUCAUAUUUUAUAAAAAAAAAAUUAUCAAACAUAUUUUUAAGUCUAAAGAAUAAUUUACUAUUUUUAAGUAUAAAAAUUAUUUUUAAAAACACUUCCCAAAUUGUUUUUCACACCUAAAAAAGAAGAAAUAAAUUAAUCAUUUUGGAUGAUUUCAUGAAGUUCUUUUAAGAGUUGAACUUCCAUUUAUCCAUAUUUCAAGAAAAAGUAAACUGUUCUCUUUCCAUACCAUUCCCAUAAAAUGAAGCUCUUGUUUCUGGUUCCCAUUCCAUAAGAAUGAAUACUGACACCAAUAUAUGAACAUAUGCCUCGUGACCAAAACAGUAAAUAUAGACUAAUUUUCAUUUGCUUAUGUAAUCAUCAAGACAAAUACAAACACAUUUUCUUGUUUAAUUUAAACCAAGAAGUAUAAAAUAUACAUUGUCUACGUAUACAUUUAAUCAAACUAUCAAACUAUCAAACUCUCAAACUCAAAACCCCCAAGCAAAAGAAAAAUACAAAUCAUAUAACAGUACAAAUUCUCAAUUUUCUAAGAGAGAGGCUAAUCUUCCCAAGAAAGAGUUGGAAUUUUGCAUAGAAAGAUGAGUAUAUCUAAUGUCCAAUUCCUGGACUUGGGACAGACUCUCCUAGCAUCCUAUCUUUAAUGCUGGGAAGAUGGAUACUGAAGAGCCUCCCAUUGAUAUUGACCAUUGCAUAACCUUUAUCACUAGGAGAAGAAGGUGGUGUAGAACCCUUGGGAAGAGAAGGUAGGAUCAGACUCUCCUCCAUAGAAGAAACCCCUUCUUUCUUCUCCAUGCUCAACAACUUCCUUGCAUCUAAAGCAGAAAUGGAGAGCACCAGUACAAGAAUGAAGAUUAGGGGAACUGAAGAGCUUGACUUAGCCAUGCGGACUGGUGGGGAAGAGAUUAGUAGUCAGAGAAACAAAGAAGGUUUUGAGAUAUUGGGAGGCCUUUGGGAUAUGGGUCUAUUGCAGUUUGGUUGUGUGUGGCACUUCCUAGGGUUUAUAUAUAUAGAGAGAGACGUGAGAUGAUCAAGUGGGUUGGCUGAGUCAACAUUUAUGAAGUUGAAGAGAGAGGGAAUAUUUUUGCUUCUACUUUGUAAAUAUUGGGUUAGGUUCUUAGGCAUGCAUAUGCUCUGGUUAAG